rnacentral:rRNA from 1 species
AGCGAACGCUGGCGGCAGGCCUAACACAUGCAAGUCGAACGAGGUCUUCGGACUUAGUGGCGGACGGGUGAGUAACACGUGGGAACGUGCCUUUAGGUUCGGAAUAACUCAGGGAAACUUGUGCUAAUACCGAAUGUGCCCUUCGGGGGAAAGAUUUAUCGCCUUUAGAGCGGCCCGCGUCUGAUUAGCUAGUUGGUGAGGUAAUGGCUCACCAAGGCUACGAUCAGUAGCUGGUCUGAGAGGAUGACCAGCCACAUUGGGACUGAGACACGGCCCAAACUCCUACGGGAGGCAGCAGUGGGGAAUCUUGCGCAAUGGGCGAAAGCUUGACGCAGCCAUGCCGCGUGGAUGAUGAAGGUCUUAGGAUUGUAAAAUCCUUUCACCGGUGAAGAUAAUGACUGUAGCCGGAGAAGAAGCCCCGGCUAACUUCGUGCCAGCAGCCGCCGUAACAC